CAAUAGCGUAUAUUAAAGUUGUUGCGGUAAAAAAGCUCGUAGUUGGAUUUCUGUUGAGAGCGACCGGUCCAUACCAUGUAUGCGUAUCUGGCUUGCUCUCGGCAUCCUCUCGAUAGACGUUACUGCGCUUGAUAGCGUGGUGCGGAUCUCGGGACUUUUACUUUGAGGAAAUUAGAGUGUUCACGGCAGGCUUUCGCCAGAAUACAUUAGCAUGGAAUAAUACUAUAGGAUCUUGGUUCUAUUUUGUUGGUUUCUAGAAUUGAGAUAAUGAUUAAUAGGGACAAUUGGGGGCAUUCGUAUCAACACGUCAGAGGUGGAAUUCUUGGAUUGUGUUGCGACGAACUACUGCGAAAGCAUUUGCCAAGGAUGUUUUCAUUGA
rnacentral:rRNA from 1 species